rnacentral:SRP_RNA from 1 species
GCCGGGCGCAGUGGCUCAUGCCUGUAAUCCCAGCACUGUGGGAGGCUGAGGUGGGCGGAUCACCUGAGGUCAGGAGUUCUUCAAGACCAGCCUGGCCAACAUGGUGAUACCCCAUCUCUA